rnacentral:rRNA from 4 species
UCCCACCUGACCCCAUGCCGAACUCAGAAGUGAAACGCCGUAGCGCCGAUGGUAGUGUGGGGUCUCCCCAUGCGAGAGUAGGACACUGCCAGGCA